CCUUGCUCGUCUUGGGAGGCUCCUCUGGAUGGAGAGGUCGGUGCGCUCGAGGGAAAUUUUGCGCGCAGGGCGAGAGGAGAGACUCUGAUUCACAAGUCUAAGCACAUCUUGCUUGAAACAGAAGAAUACAGAAACGUGAAGGGGAAAUUGAGAGGAUUUCCUUUCUGCCUAUUCCAAAGCAAGCAAUAGAGAAGACAGACAGAGCAAUCUGUACUUUCAUUAGGAGUCACGAAAAAAUCAUUUAAAUUUGUGGGAUAACAAUGUGAUUCAGUCAAUGAACACCCUUAGUUCACAUCAAGGAACUGAAAUAGUGGAGACACCAUUUAAAGGUAUGGAUUGUGGAAAGGAUGUCAGUGAGAGUGGAACGCCUGCACAACAUCAAGGAACUCACACUGGGGAGAAACCAUUUAAAUGUAUGGAGUGUGGAAAGAGCUUCAGUCAGAGUGGAGCCCUUA